AUUGAACGCUGGCGGCAGGCCUAACACAUGCAAGUCGAGCGGAUGAAGGGAGCUUGCUCCUGGAUUCAGCGGCGGACGGGUGAGUAAUGCCUAGGAAUCUGCCUGGUAGUGGGGGAUAACGUCCGGAAACGGGCGCUAAUACCGCAUACGUCCUGAGGGAGAAAGUGGGGGAUCUUCGGACCGCACGCUAUCAGAUGAGCCUAGGUCGGAUUAGCUAGUUGGUGGGGUAAAGGCCUACCAAGGCGACGAUCCGUAACUGGUCUGAGAGGAUGAUCAGUCACACUGGAACUGAGACACGGUCCAGACUCCUACGGGAGGCAGCAGGGGGGAAUAUUGGACAAUGGGCGAAAGCCUGAUCCAGCCAUGCCGCGUGUGUGAAGAAGGUCUUCGGAUUGUAAAGCACUUUAAGUUGGGAGGAAGGGCAGUAAGUUAAUACCUUGCUGUUUUGACGUUACCAACAGAAUAAGCACCGGCUAACUUCGUG
rnacentral:rRNA from 1 species